UGGGGAAUAUUGGACAAUGGGCGCAAGCCUGAUCCAGCCAUGCCGCGUGAGUGACGAAGGCCUUAGGGUUGUAAAGCUCUUUUGGCGGGGACGAUAAUGACGGUACCCGCAGAAUAAGCCCCGGCUAACUUCGUGCCAGCAGCCGCGGUAAUACGAAGGGGGCUAGCGUUGUUCGGAAUCACUGGGCGUAAAGCGCACGUAGGCGGAUGUGCCAGUCAGGGGUGAAAUCCCGGAGCUCAACUCCGGAACUGCCUCUGAUACUGCACGUCUUGAGUUCGAGAGAGGUGGGUGGAAUUCCUAGUGUAGAGGUGAAAUUCGUAGAUAUUAGGAAGAACACCGGUGGCGAAGGCGGCCCACUGGCUCGAUACUGACGCUGAGGUGCGAAAGCGUGGGGAGCAAACAGGAUUAGAUACCCCUGUAGUCCCUGAGCGGGCUGGCAAGGCGCAU
rnacentral:rRNA from 1 species